rnacentral:miRNA from 14 species
CUAUACAGCCUACUGUCUUUC